rnacentral:rRNA from 1 species
UUAAAUUGAGAGUUUGAUCCUGGCUCAGGACGAACGCUGGCGGCGUGCUUAACACAUGCAAGUCGAACGGGAUUUAGUAAACAGAA